GGUUAAGCGACUAAGCGUACACGGUGGAUGCCCUGGCAGUCAGAGGCGAUGAAGGACGUGCUAAUCUGCGAUAAGCGCCGGUAAGGUGAUAUGAACCGUUAUAACCGGCGAUUUCCGAAUGGGGAAACCCAGUGUGAUUCGUCACACUAUCAUUAACUGAAUCCAUAGGUUAAUGAGGCGAACCGGGGGAACUGAAACAUCUAAGUACCCCGAGGAAAAGAAAUCAACCGAGAUUCCCCCAGUAGCGGCGAGCGAACGGGGAGGAGCCCAGAGCCUGAAUCAGCAUGUGUGUUAGUGGAAGCGUCUGGAAAGGCGCGCGAUACAGGGUGACAGCCCCGUACACAAAAGCGCAUGUGCUGUGAGCUCGAUGAGUAGGGCGGGACACGUGGUAUCCUGUCUGAAUAUGGGGGGACCAUCCUCCAAGGCUAAAUACUCCUGACUGACCGAUAGUGAACCAGUACCGUGAGGGAAAGGCGAAAAGAACCCCGGCGAGGGGAGUGAAAAAGAACCUGAAACCGUGUACGUACAAGCAGUGGGAGCACAGGUUUACCUGUGUGACUGCGUACCUUUUGUAUAAUGGGUCAGCGACUUAUAUUCUGUAGCAAGGUUAACCGUAUAGGGGAGCCGUAGGGAAACCGAGUCUUAACCGGGCGUUAAGUUGCAGGGUAUAGACCCGAAACCCGGUGAUCUAGCCAUGGGCAGGUUGAAGGUUGGGUAACACUAACUGGAGGACCGAACCGACUAAUGUUGAAAAAUUAGCGGAUGACCUGUGGCUGGGGGUGAAAGGCCAAUCAAACCGGGAGAUAGCUGGUUCUCCCCGAAAGCUAUUUAGGUAGCGCCUCGUGAAUUCAUCUCCGGGGGUAGAGCACUGUUUCGGCUAGGGGCCAUCCCGGCUUACCAACCCGAUGCAAACUGCGAAUACCGGAGAAUGUUAUCACGGGAGACACACGGCGGGUGCUAACGUCCGUCGUGAAGAGGGAAACAACCCAGACCGCCAGCUAAGGUCCCAAAGUCAUGGUUAAGUGGGAAACGAUGUGGGAAGGCCCAGACAGCCAGGAUGUUGGCUUAGAAGCAGCCAUCAUUUAAAGAAAGCGUAAUAGCUCACUGGUCGAGUCGGCCUGCGCGGAAGAUGUAACGGGGCUAAACCAUGCACCGAAGCUGCGGCAGCGAACGUAUCACCCAAGACAACUUUACGGAGUUGACGAUUGACGGAGCGAAGCGACGUCAAAGCGUUCAUUAAAGUCGAGUUGGCUUAGGGAUACGUUCGUUGGGUAGGGGAGCGUUCUGUAAGCCUGUGAAGGUGUGUCGUGAGGCAUGCUGGAGGUAUCAGAAGUGCGAAUGCUGACAUAAGUAACGAUAAAGCGGGUGAAAAGCCCGCUCGCCGGAAGACCAAGGGUUCCUGUCCAACGUUAAUCGGGGCAGGGUGAGUCGACCCCUAAGGCGAGGCCGAAAGGCGUAGUCGAUGGGAAACGGGUUAAUAUUCCCGUACUUGGUGUUACUGCGAAGGGGGGACGGAGAAGGCUAUGUUGGCCGGGCGACGGUUGUCCCGGUUUAAGCGUGUAGGUGUGUGUUCCAGGUAAAUCCGGUUCACUUUAACACUGAGGCGUGACGACGAGGCACUACGGUGCUGAAGCAACAAAUGCCCUGCUUCCAGGAAAAGCCUCUAAGCAUCAGGUAACACGAAAUCGUACCCCAAACCGACACAGGUGGUCAGGUAGAGAAUACCAAGGCGCUUGAGAGAACUCGGGUGAAGGAACUAGGCAAAAUGGUGCCGUAACUUCGGGAGAAGGCACGCUGACACGUAGGUGAAGUGAUUUACUCAUGGAGCUGAAGUCAGUCGAAGAUACCAGCUGGCUGCAACUGUUUAUUAAAAACACAGCACUGUGCAAACACGAAAGUGGACGUAUACGGUGUGACGCCUGCCCGGUGCCGGAAGGUUAAUUGAUGGGGUCAGCGCAAGCGAAGCUCCUGAUCGAAGCCCCGGUAAACGGCGGCCGUAACUAUAACGGUCCUAAGGUAGCGAAAUUCCUUGUCGGGUAAGUUCCGACCUGCACGAAUGGCGUAAUGAUGGCCAGGCUGUCUCCACCCGAGACUCAGUGAAAUUGAACUCGCUGUGAAGAUGCAGUGUACCCGCGGCAAGACGGAAAGACCCCGUGAACCUUUACUAUAGCUUGACACUGAACAUUGAGCCUUGAUGUGUAGGAUAGGUGGGAGGCUUUGAAGUGUGGACGCCAGUCUGCAUGGAGCCGACCUUGAAAUACCACCCUUUAAUGUUUGAUGUUCUAACGUGGACCCGUAAUCCGGGUUGCGGACAGUGUCUGGUGGGUAGUUUGACUGGGGCGGUCUCCUCCUAAAGAGUAACGGAGGAGCACGAAGGUUGGCUAAUCCUGGUCGGACAUCAGGAGGUUAGUGCAAUGGCAUAAGCCAGCUUGACUGCGAGCGUGACGGCGCGAGCAGGUGCGAAAGCAGGUCAUAGUGAUCCGGUGGUUCUGAAUGGAAGGGCCAUCGCUCAACGGAUAAAAGGUACUCCGGGGAUAACAGGCUGAUACCGCCCAAGAGUUCAUAUCGACGGCGGUGUUUGGCACCUCGAUGUCGGCUCAUCACAUCCUGGGGCUGAAGUAGGUCCCAAGGGUAUGGCUGUUCGCCAUUUAAAGUGGUACGCGAGCUGGGUUUAGAACGUCGUGAGACAGUUCGGUCCCUAUCUGCCGUGGGCGCUGGAGAACUGAGGGGGGCUGCUCCUAGUACGAGAGGACCGGAGUGGACGCAUCACUGGUGUUCGGGUUGUCAUGCCAAUGGCACUGCCCGGUAGCUAAAUGCGGAAGAGAUAAGUGCUGAAAGCAUCUAAGCACGAAACUUGCCCCGAGAUGAGUUCUCCCUGAGACUUAGAGUCUCCUGAAGGAACGUUGAAGACGACGACGUUGAUAGGCCGGGUGUGUAAGCGCAGCGAUGCGUUGAGCUAACCGGUACUAAUGAACCGUGAGGCUUAACCUU
rnacentral:rRNA from 1 species